CCUACGGGAGGCAGCAGUGGGGAAUCUUCCGCAAUGGGCGAACGCCUGACGGAGCAACGCCGCGUGAUCUAAUGAAGGCCUUCGGGUUGUAAAGAUCUGUUGACAGGGACGAAUAAGCAAUGCGAAUAGUUUUGUGUAUGACGGUACCUGUUUAGAAAGCUCCGGCUAACUACGUGCCAGCAGCCGCUGUAAUACGUAGGGAGCAAGCGUUGUCCGGAAUUACUGGGCGUAAAGGGCGCGUAGGUGGGCGCUUAAGUCAGGUGUGAAAACUCCGGGCUCAACCUGGAGACUGCACUUGAAACUGGGUGUCUUGAGGGCAGGAGAGGAAAGUGGAAUGCCUAGUGUAGCGGUGAAAUGCGUAGAUAUUAGGAGGAACAUCAGGGGCGAAGGCGACUUACUGGACUGUAACUGACACUGAGGCACGAAAGCGUGGGGAGCAAACAGGAUUAGAUACCCUAGUAGUC
rnacentral:rRNA from 1 species